UACGUAGGGUGCAAGCGUUGUCCGGAAUUAUUGGGCGUAAAGAGCUCGUAGGCGGUCUGUCACGUCGGCUGUGAAAACUCGGGGCUCAACCCCGAGCCUGCAGUCGAUACGGGCAGACUAGAGUCCGGCAGGGGAGACUGGAAUUCCUGGUGUAGCGGUGAAAUGCGCAGAUAUCAGGAGGAACACCCGAUGGCGAAGGCAGAUCUCUGGGCCGUAACUGACGCU
rnacentral:rRNA from 1 species